rnacentral:lncRNA from 1 species
UUAUACAAAAUAACUCCUGAUGAAAGUGUUAUAUAGACAAAGAGAUAUAUAUACGUCAACACAAGUUGUUUGCUGAUCUUCAUCUUUUCUUCUAUGAUACUUUGCGAUUUGGCGAGAAGGCCUUCAAUCUGGCGAAAAAUCUAACAGAUGCCUCCAAUCUGAAGAUCAAGAAACUCAAGUCCCACUUUGCGAUUAGGCUAGAAGGCCUCCAAUCUGGCGAAAAACCUAACAGAUGCUCUCCAAUCUGAAGAUCAAGAAACUCAAGUCCACGAUAUUUUUGCAGAUAAGAGGUACACCAUCAGCUCAGCUGCUGUUUAUUCAUUAAAAGAUAAUAUAUGAUGUGCCAAGUCUGUUUCUGAAUAUGCUGUUAUUGUACCAGGUUUUGAUAGAAUCU